rnacentral:rRNA from 1 species
GACGAACGCUGGCGGCGUGCUUAACACAUGCAAGUCGAACGGAAAGGCCCUGCUUUUGUGGGGUGCUCGAGUGGCGAACGGGUGAGUAACACGUGAGUAACCUGCCCUUGACUUUGGGAUAACUUCAGGAAACUGGGGCUAAUACCGGAUAGGAGCUCCUGCUGCAUGGUGGGGGUUGGAAAGUUUCGGCGGUUGGGGAUGGACUCGCGGCUUAUCAGCUUGUUGGUGGGGUAGUGGCUUACCAAGGUUUUGAUGGGUAGCCGGCCUGAGAGGGUGACCGGCCACAUUGGGACUGAGAUACGGCCCAGACUCCUACGGGAGGCAGCAGUGGGGAAUAUUGCACAAUGGGCGGAAGCCUGAUGCAGCAACGCCGCGUGCGGGAUGACGGCCUUCGGGUUGUAAACCGCUUUCGCCUGUGACGAAGCGUGAGUGACGGUAAUGGGUAAAGAAGCACCGGCUAACUACGUG